rnacentral:rRNA from 1 species
GACAGAGGGUGCAAACGUUGUUCGGAAUUACUGGGCGUAAAGCGCGUGUAGGCGGCCCUGCAAGUCGGAUGUGAAAUCCCACGGCUCAACUGUGGGCGGGCAGCUGAUACGGGCAGGCUGGAGUUCGGUAGGGGAGACUGGAAUUCCUGGUGUAGCGGUGAAAUGCGCAGAUAUCAGGAGGAACACCAAUGGCGAAGGCAGCUCGCUGGAACGGUACUGACGCUGAGACGCGAAAGCGUGGGGAGCAAACAGG